rnacentral:rRNA from 1 species
AGGACGAACGCUGGCGGCGUGCUUAACACAUGCAAGUGGAGCGACGAACCAGGCUUCGGCCUGGGGCAGAGCCGCGAACGGGUGAGUAACACGUGGGUAACCUGCCCUGAUGAUUGGGACAACCCGAGGAAACUCGGGCUAAUACCAAAUGUGCCCCCUGGCCUCAAGGCCUCUGGGGAAAGGAAGCUUCGGCCUCCGCAUCGGGAUGGGCCCGCGGCCCAUUAGCUUGUUGGUGAGGUAAUGGCUCACCAAGGCUACGAUGGGUAGCUGGUCUGAGAGGACGAUCAGCCACACUGGGACUGAGACACGGCCCAGACUCCUACGGGAGGCAGCAGUGGGGAAUCUUGCACAGUGGGCGCAAGCCUGAUGCAGCAACGCCGCGUGAGGGACGAAGGCUUUCUGAGUUGUAAACCUCUUUCAGCAGGGACGAUUGUGACGGUACCUGCAGAAGAAGCCCGGCAACUACGUGCCAGCAGCCGCGGUAA